rnacentral:rRNA from 1 species
UCGGGGUAGUAAUAGUUAUGAUCUUGAAACCCAAAGAAUUUGGCGGUGUUUUAGUCCUUUCAGAGGAAUCUGUCCUGUAAUUGAUACUACACGAUUUAUGUGACUCAGUUUUGUUUUCAGUUUAUAUACCGCCGUCAGUAAGAUUAUCUUGUGGAGAGUAUAAAAUUUCAUUAUAUGUUAUUAUAUGUUAUGUCAGGUCAAGGUGUAGCUAAUAAUUGAGUAGAGAUGGAUUACAAUAAAUUUAUUUAUAUGAAUAAUAAUUUGAAUAGGUUGUUUGAAAGUGGAUUUGAUUGUAAAUGAAUUAUAGAUUGAUUAGUUGAUUAGGGCUCUAGAAUGUGUACAUAUCGCCCGUCGCUCUCGUUUUAAGAUGAG